UACAGAGGGUGCAAGCGUUAAUCGGAAUUACUGGGCGUAAAGCGUGCGUAGACGGUUAUGUAAGUCGGGUGUGAAAGCCCCGGGCUCAACCUGGGAACUGCAUUUGUGACUGCACGGCUGGAGUGCGGCAGAGGGGGAUGGAAUUCCGCGUGUAGCAGUGAAAUGCGUAGAUAUGCGGAGGAACACCGAUGGCGAAGGCAAUCCCCUGGGCCUGCACUGACGCUCAUGCACGAAAGCGUGGGGAGCAAACAGG
rnacentral:rRNA from 1 species